rnacentral:rRNA from 1 species
AACUGUGAGACAGGUGCUGCAUGGCUGUCGUCAGCUCGUGCUGUGAAGUGUCGGGUUAAGUCCCUUAACGAGCGCAACCCCUAUCGUUAGUUACUAACGCGUUAUGGCGAGGACUCUAGCGAGACUGCCGGUGUCAAACCGGAGGAAGGUGGGGAUGACGUCAAGUCAGCAUGGCCCUUAUGCCUAGGGAUGCAAACGUGCUACAAUGGUACGGACAAAGCGAUGCGAUACCGCGAGGUGGAGCAAAUCGCAAAAACCGUGCCCCAGUUCGGAUAGCAGGCUGAAAUUCGCCUGCUUGAAGCCGGAAUCGCUAGUAAUCGCGUAUCAGCUACGACGCGGUGAAUACGUUCCUGAGCCUUGUACACACCGCCCGUCAAGUCAUGGAAGCUGUUAGUGCCCGAAGUCACCUCGUUUCAGGGGUGCCUACGGCAAGAAUGGUGACUGGGACUAAGUCGGAACAAGGUAGCCGUG